AGCCAAAAGAAGCUCUUCAGUUCAGGUGAAGUGAGUAUUGCUUCAGGAAUAGCAAAAGCCAUGCACAUCACUGCAAGUGAGAGGCUCCUGUAAAAAUUGCAACUUAGAAGUUCAUAUUUGGAUAUUAAUGUACAAAGAUUUGGAACUCCUCCAAUCCCAUGACUAAAAUGGAUCUCGAUAUGAGGAUUCAAAACUGAUUCACUUGAGUUUAAGUCACCAAUAGCGCCUCUGUAUAUGCACUAGUCAGAACUUUAAAGACAAAACCGAG
rnacentral:misc_RNA from 1 species